AAUCAACGCUGGCGGCGUGCCUCAGACAUGCAAGUCGAACGCGAAAUCUCCCUUCGGGGAGAAAGUAGAGUGGCGCACGGGUGAGUAACACGUAGGUAAUUUGCCUUCGGGUGGGGAAUAACAGCCGGAAACGGCUGCUAAUACCGCAUAAUGCAGCGGCUCGACAUCGAGACAGUUGUUAAAGCGGGGGAUCGCAAGACCUCGCGCCUGAAGAGAAGCCUGCGGCAGAUUAGCUAGUUGGCAGGGUAAUGGCCUACCAAGGCGACGAUCUGUAACCGGCCUGAGAGGGCGGUCGGUCACACUGACACUGACAUACGGGUCAGACUCCUACGGGAGGCAGCAGUCGGGAAUUUUGGACAAUGGACGCAAGUCUGAUCCAGCCA
rnacentral:rRNA from 1 species